AUGAAAUGGCAAAUCUUGCUCAAGAUGCCAAACUAUUCGAUUCAAACACUAAAGAUGAUAAUUGCGGCUACCAUGACACUACACAACUAUGUCCUCCUCCAUGACAAAGAGGAUAUCCACUUUCUUCGGUGUGAGAGGGAUACGGAUUAUGUCCCAACUAUUCCAGAGAGAUACAAGAAGUAUGUUAUUCCUCCAAAUGCCUCGGGUUCUUCAACACCGUCAGAAAGUGGUCCUAACAUGGAUUUGUUUAGACAUGAACUAGCUACCGCCAUUGCUCUUAGUUGGUGA
rnacentral:rRNA from 1 species